AUGCUCUCCUGUUUUCCACCAUCAACCCAGCAGUUCAACCCAGAACAUCCAUCCUUCACCUCUGUCAACCUUCAAUUCCUUGCAAAACCUCAUCUCAAAUUCCUCCAGCCACCUCCAUCUUUGCAAUCUGCAACAACUCAAUCAAUCCUCUGUCAAAUUGCGACAACCCCUUCAUCUUCGCUGUAA